UUGUCUUGUGAAGCAGUUGAUUGUUUAGAUGAAAGAUUCAGUUAGUUUUGUCUCUGCCCUCACAGUGCAUGGAAUAUUUCUGGCAAAGUUUAAAUCCAUUCCAAUUUUUAAAAUUAUUGACAUUAUUUUCUCUGCAUGAACACCACUUGGGAUAACUGCAACAAUGGGAAUACAUUACUGGAACAAACCUGACAAGGCCACACAGAACCAUAUGUGAUGGGAGGCAAAUUGAGCUCCCGAAGCAGAAGCGAACCAUCAAGCAUCCAGGUUUCAUAAAAUCUGAAUUCUCCCUGUGCAGGUAUAAACUUUGAACUGAAUUCAUCACAGUCUGUGUCUGCAGAAACAGGCAACCAGAGAUGUCACUCAGUGCAUGAACACACAUGGCUCAGGCUUUUUUGGCUCUUAAAAAGGAAAUGCCCACAAGAAGCCUUUGUAAUGACACUGUGAAAAAUAAAUCCAUCCUGAACAACCAAGCAAAGUAGGCAGAAUCUUAAAGAUGACUUUACUGGAAAAACAAGUAAGUUUCAGGUCUUGCAAUGCUGCUGCUACAAAGUGUGGUGAUGUCACAUUAAUGUCUUAAAACUGGCCAUUCAAUUGCAAGAUCAGGAUUCUAUGUCAGUAUAUCAUGAGCUUUACUUCUUUUAUUCCAGUCUUCCUAUCGGUGAAACAGUCUUUGUUUCCAUCUUUGAGGUAGGUUUCAUCUCACUGGGAAUGGUGAUUGUGUGGAUUGGAAUAAGUGCCGGGCUUUUACAGCUCACUGUGCGGGGAAAGGUGCUUGUGGGGAUUCAUUUUAACAGCAUUCAGUGACCAGAGCAGUGGGGCUUCAUGCCCAAGAAAUCAACCAUUGACCGCAUCCUAGCUCUCUCUUGAUAAUCUGAGUGAGGACUCGGAGUGUCUGGGUUUGACAUUAUCCUGGCUCAAGAAUGUCCAGGCUUUCCAUGACUUGCUGGGCUCAACCAAUGGAAAUGAAUCUAUGCAGUGAAAGUGUUGAACUUGUCAAGAGAUUCAUGUGACAUUCAUGUCUCUGGGUCCUUGGCUUUUGAUAUAUAGAGAUUCAUAGGAACACCUCAAGGGGUCAUGAGGUCCCUGGACAGAGCUUUUUGUCAAUGCCGACAAAAAAGAUUUUCAUUUUAACCUGCCAAUUUAUUUAGGCAUUGUGAAAAAAUGUGCCCAUCAGAACCAUGCAAACAUCUAAAAAUCAAAUAAAGAGGAAAAAGUGUGCAAAAGGCUGUUUGAUAAUUGUCAUUAUUGUUCAUUUACUGUGACUACUGACACAUACACCACAAGGAAAACUACAGGGGUGUUGCAAUACUGCAAAACCACAAACUUCGCCAGCUCCCUAUUCAUCAUGUGGACAUGCAAACAUGUAUGGUGAGCUGUGUGCAUUCUGUAAUUUGGUAAUUGUGCACAACCUAGGUUUCUAAAUAAAAAACAAAAACAUACUGGUUAGUUCAGGUCUUGGGUCCUGGAUAGAAACCAUCUAAGCAGACAUCCGGUUCAUCACCACCUCCUGAGAGUAGUCAUGGUUCUGGAUCUUUGGAAAUGCCGAGAUCCAGUAGUGUUCAGAAUAAUAGUAGUGCCAUGUGACUAAAAAGAUUAAUCCAGGU